UUGGGUGAUGAAGAGCAGGCGGCCUCAUUUGCAGAAAGCACUUCCUCAGAAGCAGCACCUUCGCUGCCUCCUCUUCCUCCAUGUGGCUGUCGGGCAGGCGAGGGCGAUUGCUUUCCCCUCCCGCGCCAUGCUGCCUGUCCGCCUGUGGGACCUGCUCCGUGGGCUUUUCAUCAGCUGCCAUUUUCACCAGCAUGCAAUAAUUUCAUGGCUCAUUGCAAGCGCUGAAAACCUUUGAAACUGCAAAUGUUAACUUUUGCCUGGCCCGGAGCCAUUUAGAAAGCGAUUAAUUCGGCAAACAGACGUGAGCCACUUUCUCCUCCCAAGUUUUCGCAUAAUUUUCCAACCCUUUCUAUCUGGGAUUUGCAUUGCAGGGAACUCAGAGGACAAGGAGAAUAACCACUCCUGUUAAUUGUGGUUUGGUGAAGAAACGAGGCCUGUCGCUCUACAGUCUGAUCUGCCUGGCUGUCCCAAUCCAGUCCAGAACAGGGAGAAUGGACAGAGAAUCAGUUAAAAAAAAAUUGUGUACAAGGCUCUUUGAAGGUGAAGAUGGCAUGAAGGUUGACUUGGCCAAGGUGCAAAAUCAUCAUGCCUGAGACCACACAGAUGGGGAUGAGAUAAAACUUCUUGUUGCGCUCAACACCAUUUCCAGAAAAGAAAGACAAGGAGAAGAAACUAAAACCAAACUUCAUCAGUCCACGUGUGUAUCGCCAACAUUCCAGCUCCUGGAGAACAAAACACAAACUGAAGACGAGCUUCAAAAUGGAAGGAUAGAAAUCAGCAGUGAAAAGAGGAGAGGAUGAGUGCAAAGAAAACAAAGAGAUGGAAGAAUAACACAGAAAAGAAGGGAAGAAAAAAAGCCAGAGAGAAGAAGGUGUGGAGCAGAAGUGUAGAAGUGUGUUGCUGGGCAGAGGGCUGGCGCUGGCAGGGUGGAGAAGCGGGCACGCUCACAGACAUCUGUUGGCACGCUGCGGAUGCUGGAGGGGGCACGGUGCCAUGACCAGCGGGUACGUGGCACACUGAUAAUGCUGGAGCUAUACUCAGAUACACACUGUGUCUCUAUAGAACGCCACACACACAAGCACUAAUGAUAAAAUAAUCUCACACUACCGACAUUAGCAAUGCAGGACACACGUUGAGGAUCCAAAAUAUCAUAAUUGGCAGCUUUCAGUUUUUAGUCUAGGCAAAAUACUUAAGAGAAAUUAUCCUGCAGAGUAAAAGGAGGAUUUACCUACACUACUAAAAAUAAAGGUUCUUUAUAUGCAUUGAUGGUUCCAUGAAGAACCUU